UAGAUUGAAGCCCUCUGGCUUGGGUGUUUGGUUGUUAACUGAGUGUUUGCGGGAUCGAGGCCCGUCAGUCUAG
rnacentral:tRNA from 1 species